GUGGGAGCGGGCUUGCUCGCGAAUGCGGUGUGUCAGUUAAAGCAUGUGCUGACUGAUACACCGCAUUCGCGAGCAAGCCCGCUCCCAC
rnacentral:misc_RNA from 1 species